ACGUGCCUGUCCAAGAUGAAGAGACAGACCAGAAACCCAUCUCAGGUGUCCCAGGAAGUCUUGGCACCUGUCUGGGGGUGCAUCUGCCCCCACCCCACCCACCAUCAUCACCAUCGACAAGACCCUCCUAUUGACGUGAACCACGAGAGCGUCCCCGGCUUUGGCAAGCUCAAGUAUCCCCCCAGUGAGGAAUGAGCACUCCCCUUCUGGAUCCUUGCGCUUCGUCAUGAAGACAGCCUGUCACCCUCUCCCAGCGCCCAGGCGCACCCUCUCCUAUUUCCCUUUUUCAUCCUCACCAUUGUAGUAUCCUCGUGCUUUGACUCCUUUCUCAUCCCUCUACCCCACAUCGGUGUGGGAGCUGCAUCGUGAAUAUUCCCAGUCCCAACCAGCAUUGACUACAGAGUCCCCUGGAAUUGCUUACAUGGAAACUAUAAUGUCCCUCUCUACUCUUCAACAAUAAAGGAUUUUUACAUAUGAGUUAGAGUG
rnacentral:lncRNA from 1 species